AUGAACUGGAUGUGGGUUAGUGGACAGACCAUACAUCCUUAUUUGUUUGGGACAGUUGCAGUUUAUAUAAUUCGUGACAUGGUCACCCUGGUUAUGAGAAAAAGAGAGGAGUCAAGAAUGGCUCCAUAUAGGGGAAAUAAAUGGUAAUAGAAAAGUAAAUAAAUAAAAUUAAGAGG